AUUGAACGCUGGCGGCAGGCUUAACACAUGCAAGUCGAACGAGUGGCGGACGGGUGAGUAAUGCUUGGGAAUCUAGCUGAUGGAGGGGGAUAACUACUGGAAACUGUAGCUAAUACCGCGUACCAUAGGAUGAGCCCAGGUGGGAUUAGGUUGUUGGUGGGGUAAAGGCUCACCAAGCCGACGAUCCCUAGCUGGUCUGAGAGGAUGACCAGCCACACUGGGACUGAGACACGGCCCAGACUCCUACGGGAGGCAGCAGUGGGGAAUAUUGCACAAUGGGGGAAACCUGACCCAGCCAUGCCGCGUGAAUGAAGAAGGCCUUCGGGUUGUAAAGUUCUUUCGGUAGAGAGGCGUUAACUGCAGAAGAAGCACCGGCUAACUCCGUGCCAGCAGCCGCGGUAAUAC
rnacentral:rRNA from 1 species